GGGGCUUCCUCCCCGCCGCUCUCGGUCCUGGUGCUCCUCCGUGGUGCUGGAUCCGCCAGAGGAAGGCCCGGCCCGGGGACGUCCUGCCUGUGGGCUGCUGUGGGAGGGCCCGUGUUCCACAAAGUUCUGUUCUGCUCCGAGUGACCUCUUGCUGCGCGACGUCUGUACAGCAGCGUUGGAGGCGGAAGCGAGUGCCCGAGGCCUGGAGGGGGCACGGCGAGACCAGAAAGGCGGAGCGCACAUUGAAGAAGCGGGAAGGGCCGCAAUUCUGGCCUCGGUGCGCGCAGCGGCGGCCCGGCCGCGUGACAGCCGGGCGGGCGCUGGGGGUGCCCGGCCCCCCGUCCUGACGACCCCUCCCCCAGAUGCAGCCCGAUUCUCCCUCUUUACAAAACGAUGUUCAGGCUGGCGCGCGAGUCCUGUGAAGCGCCACGCGGCCUCCGCCGCCGCCCCCGCACGGCACGCGGCAGCCGCGAACGUGGCUCUGUGUGUUGCCGGCUGCAGUGGGUGUUGGCACGUACGUCAGAGGGCAGGCAAGGACGCUGUGCAAACAGAGGUUCGCCCGCGGGGCCUCGGUCCCACUGCCAGGAGCCUGCCCGGCCCCGCCGCAGCGCCAGCGCCGAGGAGGUGCCCCAGCGUGCACGUCCGCACGCCCAGCGCUACGACCAGGCGAGCAGAGCACCGGAGCUUUCCACCUGACAGGUCACGGUGGGCACCGGGAGUGGCCUCGCCUCUGGCGGCUGUGAGGGACCGUGUUGCGCCACAAGCUGCGGCUCCUCGGCCCACAGCCCGGCCCGCUGCCCUCUCCGCGGCCUUCCUAGCUGUGUCUCCUCAUCCGAGCGGUGGGCAACUGUCGGGAGGUCGUGAGAGUCGCUCAGUGAACGUAUGUACGACCCAGGUGACAGCCCUCGGCUCUCAUGGUGUGUACUCCUCUUCGUUCAUUUGUGGCUUUAUUUCAUGUAUUAACCAGCCCUUUACCACCGAACCUUCAAGUUGUUCCCAGGGAGGCCCGCCCCCCGGCAUUCUGUAG
rnacentral:lncRNA from 1 species